UACGAAGGGGGCUAGCGUUGUUCGGAAUGACUGGGCGUAAAGGGCGCGUAGGCGGCCUGCUAAGUCGAACGUGAAAUCCCUGGGCUCAACCCAGGAACUGCGUCCGAUACUGGUUGGCUUGAAUCCGGGAGAGGGAUGUGGAAUUCCAGGUGUAGCGGUGAAAUGCGUAGAUAUCUGGAGGAACACCGGUGGCGAAGGCGACAUCCUGGACCGGUAUUGACGCUGAGGCGCGAAAGCCAGGGGAGCAAACGGG
rnacentral:rRNA from 1 species